rnacentral:rRNA from 1 species
CUUGUACACACCGCCCGUCACACCAUGGGAGUUGGUUCUGCCUUAAGCCGUGCAGUUCAAAGCGCACGACCACGGCAGGGUCGAUGACUGGGGUG